GUGGCUGCUGGAUGGGUGCUCUCUACUAGUGCUGUGCAAAGGCUUUUGCUGAGGUUGCUGUGUGCCUGUAGGGUUUCCCUCUAGGCUACAGAGCUGG
rnacentral:pre_miRNA from 1 species